UCCGUGCCAAAUUUCAUGGAGUUUGGACAUUUCAGUAGCUCUCAGCAAAAAGGACAAAAUUUAGGGCUGUAAGAAAGGCUACUGUUCAUACUGUUUUGACCGUUUUUUAUCUUUUUUGCUAUGACCUCCUCGGAUGUCCGAACUAGUUGAAAUUUGGCAGGAACAUCACGCGUUGGAACAUCUUUCACCUAUUUUUUUUUCAAAAGUUUUUGAAUUUUUUUAGUAUUUUUUUGAAUUUACUGUUCACCGGGUGCAGAUGAGCCCGGGCACCGAAUUGAAUAUCCGGUAAUCAAAGCCAUACAUUGAAGACUGAAAAGCCAAAAGUGCCAUUCAUUUUGGGGAUGGAGUAGCUUUUUAGUGUUCUUACAAUUGGGAUUAUGGCAAUUAGUUAAUGAGAGCUUGUUGUUUAAUAUUUCAAGGAAGAAAGAAGAGAAUAAUAUUUUAUUACAAUCUUUUCUUUUUGAAGUGCUCUUAUUAAAUUUAGCAUGAGAAUCAGGUAUGAUGUUUAGAAUAUUUGUAUUUACUACACAAUAUUUGAUAUGCUUUUCUGUUUCCUAUGUAUUCUCGAAUAUCCAUGACCUAAAUGGUCCAUUUCAUUGAUUACCUAUAUUAGCUGAUAAGACUAUUUGAGUUUCUGACCAUGUUGUGCAUCUGCAGAUGAAAUGUGGAAAAACCUCAAGCAGCAAGCCCAAAGAAUUCCACUGAAUUCAUGCAAUUAACUGAUGGAUCUGUUGAAGAAGUGUAAGUUCUUGAAGCUAUCUGAUGUAAUAGUUGCUGAAGCGAAGCUUUCUUUAAAUUUAUCAAAAAGAGAGUUGUCAAUUGAUCUAUAUCAUUGCUUGGCUAAAAAACAACUAAUCUACAUCUGAAUCUGCAGGGUUCAUCCCAAUCAGUGCAUUGCACAUGUUGUGGAGUAUGUGUAGGGAUCUUCAACUGUAAAUUAAACAAUGUAAUUAUCCUGUAUUAUGUUUCUGGAAAUAGGUUUAUAUAACGCAUUCUCAGUACUUUGGUUCUGGUACAUUUAGUUUAAUGAGCAUUCCCGGGUUUUCAGCAAUGGGCUUAGCUUAUGGUUGUGUUGAACUUAUGUUGUACGUAGUUUGCUACACUGAAAGUGGAAGUUAAUGACUUUUUUGUAUGAACUAAAUAACCUACCUAAAUCCAGAAAAUAAAUAACAUAAAACUAUGGGUGUGUUUGGCAACCGACAGAAUGUGUAGCGAGAUUUUUUUCUUCUUCUAUACAAUCCAUAUUGG
rnacentral:lncRNA from 1 species